rnacentral:tRNA from 1 species
GGCCCGUUGGUCAAGUGGUUAAGACUCCGCCCUCUCACGGCGGCAUCACCAGUUCGAAUCUGGUACGGGUCACCA